rnacentral:rRNA from 1 species
GAUGAACGCUAGCGGCAGGCCUAAUACAUGCAAGUCGAGCGGCAGCAUGGUCCUUCGGGACCGAUGGCGAGCGGCGCACGGGUGCGUAACGCGUAUGCAACCUACCGAGAAGAGGGGAAUAGCCCGUGGAAACGCGGAUUAAUGCCCCGUGGCAAGACGAGUCGGCAUCGACAUGUCUUUAAAGCUUCGGCGCUUCUCGAUGGGCAUGCGUCCAAUUAGCUAGAUGGCGGGGUAACGGCCCACCAUGGCGAUGAUUGGUAGGGGGCCUGAGAGGGUGAUCCCCCACACUGGUACUGAGACACGGACCAGACUCCUACGGGAGGCAGCAGUAGGGAAUAUUGGUCAAUGGGCGAGAGCCUGAACCAGCCAUGCCGCGUGCAGGAAGACGGCCCUUGGGUUGUAAACUGCUUUUGUACGGGAAGAAAAGGGCCCUGCGGGGCACAUUGACGGUACCGUACGAAUAAGCACCGGCUAACUACG